UACGUAGGGUCCGAGCGUUGUCCGGAAUUAUUGGGCGUAAAGAGCUCGUAGGCGGUCUGUCGCGUCGGUCGUGAAAACUUGGGGCUUAACCCCGAGCUUGCGGUCGAUACGGGCAUGACUGGAGUUCGGCAGGGGAGACUGGAAUUCCUGGUGUAGCGGUGAAAUGCGCAGAUAUCAGGAGGAACACCGGUGGCGAAGGCGGGUCUCUGGGCCGAUACUGACGCUGAGGAGCGAAAGCGUGGGGAGCAAACAGG
rnacentral:rRNA from 1 species